UACGUAGGGGGCUAGCGUUGUCCGGAAUCAUUGGGCGUAAAGAGCGUGUAGGCGGUCCGGUAAGUCCGCUGUGAAAGUCGGGGGCUCAACCCUCGAAUGCCGGUGGAUACUGUCGGGCUAGAGUGCGGAAGAGGCGAGUGGAAUUCCUGGUGUAGCGGUGAAAUGCGCAGAUAUCAAGAGGAACACCAAUGGCGAAGGCAGCUCGCUGGGACGGUACUGACGCUGAGACGCGAAAGCGUGGGGAGCAAACGGG
rnacentral:rRNA from 1 species